rnacentral:rRNA from 1 species
UUCCGGUUGAUCCUGCCAGUAGUUAUAUGCUUGUCUAAAAGAUUAAGCCAUGCAAGUCUAAGUAUAAGCAAUUAUACUGUGAAACUGCAGAUAGCUCAUUAUAACAGUUAUAGUUUACAUGAUAUGAUAUUCUACAUGGAUACCUGUAGUAAUUCUAGAGCUAAUACAUGUCCGUAAGUUCCUUAACGGGAAUGGGCUUAUUAGAUUCCCUUGUCAACCCGGGCAACCGGUUCUAUGGCAAGUCAUAAUAAUCUCUGAAUCGCAUGCUUUAUGGCGGCGAUAUAUCAUUCAAAUUUCUGCCCUAUCAGCUCUGAUGUUAGUGUAGUGGACUAACAUGGCGAAUACGGGUAACGGAGGAUUAGGGUCCGAUUCCGGAGAGGGAGCCUGAGAAACGGCUACCACUUCUAAGGAAGGCAGCAGGCGCGUAAAUUACCCAAUCCCGAUACGGGGAGGUAGUGACAAGAAAUAACAAUACUAGCGUCAUUUUGGCAUUAGUAAUUGGAAUGAGUACAAAGCAAAAUCAUUAACAACGAACAAUUGGAGGGCAAGUCUGGUGCCAGCAGCCGCGGUAAUACCAGCUCCUAUAGUGUAUGCUAAAGUUGUUGCAGUUAAAAGGCUCGUAGUCAAAUUUUGGUCCUGUCGCACCUGCACCAUUCUCUUGUAGAAUGUGUUGUGGUGUGCGACGACCAUUUUUCUGGAUAGCUAUUCUCUCCUUCACUGGGUGGUUGUGUGAACCGGAUCUUUUACUGUGAGACAAUCAGAGUGUUCAAAGCAGGCAUUAUGUCUGUAUGUUUCAGCAUGGAAUAAUAAGAUAAGAUUUUGGUUUCAUCUUGUUGACUGUGUUUACCAAAGUAAUGAUUAAUAGAGAUGAUUGGGGGUGUUAGAAUUUAGUGGUUAGCGGUGAAAUGCGUAGACCCACUAAAGACUGGCUUAUGCGAAAGCAUUCACCAAGGACAUUUUCUUUGAUCAAGAACGAAAGUUGGGGGAUCGAAGACGAUCAGAUACCGUCGUAGUCUCAACUAUAAACUAUGCCAACUGGAAAUUGGCAGACGUAAAUCAUAUACCCUGUCAGAAUCCUAUGGGAAACCAAAGUUUUUGGGUUCUGGGGGGAGUAUGGUCGCAAGGCUGAAACUUAAAGGAAUUGACGGAAGGGCACCACCAGGGGUGGAGCCUGCGGCUUAAUUUGACUCAACACGGGAAACCUUACCAGGUCCAGACUUAGUAAGGAUUGACAGAUUUCAGAUCUUUCUUGAUUCUAAGAUUGGUGGUGCAUGGCCGUUCUUAGUUGGUGGAGUGAUUUGUCUGGUUAAUUCCGUUAACGAACGAGACCUUUGCGUUCCAAUUUAACUGUAUUAAUUUUCGGAUUGAUAUAAGUUAUUUGGGGACCAGCGAUUUUUCGUCGACGGAAGUUAGAGGCAAUAACAGGUCUGUGAUGCCCUUAGAUGUUCUGGGCCGCACGCGCGCUACACUGGUAGGAUCAACAAGUUUAAUUAAGCGGAGACACUGAAGUAAACUUUUGAAAACCUAUCGUGAUCGGGCUUGACAAUUGCAAUUAUUUGUCACAAACGAGGAAUCCCUAGUAAGCACAGUUCAUCAACUUGUACUGAUUACGUCCCUGCCCUUUGUACACACCGCCCGUCGCUCCUACCGAUUGAAUGUUCUGGUGAAGAUUCCUGAGUUAUGAUCUUGGUUUCUCACGAUUCCUUAUUAAUUUCAACGUUAUCUUAGCCAUAACAUUUAGAGGAAGGAAAAGUCGUAACAAGGUAGCC